GAUGAACGCUGGCGGCGCGCCUAACACAUGCAAGUCGAACGGUUAAAGCACCUUUUAGGUGUGUAUAAAGUGGCGAACGGCUGAGUAACACGUGGGCAACCUGCCCUCCUCUUGGGGAUAGCCUCGGGAAACCGAGGAUAAUACCCGAUACUUCAAUGUGGCCGCAUGACGACAUUGAGAAAGCUUUUGCGGAGAAGGAUGGGCCCGCGGCCUGUUAGCUUGUUGGUGGGGUAGAGGCCUACCAAGGCAAUGAUGGGUAGCUGGGUUGAGAGACCGACCAGCCAGAUUGGGACUGAGACACGGCCCAGACUCCUACGGGAGGCAGCAGUGGGGAAUCUUGCACAAUGGGCGAAAGCCUGAUGCAGCGACGCCGCGUGCGGGACGAAGGCCUUUCGGGUUGUAAACCGCUUUUCAGCAGGGACGAGGCGAAAGUGACGGUACCUGCAGAAGAAGCCCCGCUAA
rnacentral:rRNA from 2 species